rnacentral:rRNA from 1 species
UGGGGAAUAUUGCACAAUGGGCGGAAGCCUGAUGCAGCGACGCCGCGUGGGGGAUGAAGGCCUUCGGGUUGUAAACUCCUUUCGACAGGGACGAAGCUUUUGUGACGGUACCUGUAUAAGAAGCACCGGCUAACUACGUGCCAGCAGCCGCGGUAAUACGUAGGGUGCGAGCGUUGUCCGGAAUUACUGGGCGUAAAGAGCUCGUAGGUGGUUUGUCGCGUCGUCUGUGAAAUUCCGGGGCUUAACUCCGGGCGUGCAGGCGAUACGGGCUGACUUGAGUGCUGUAGGGGAGACUGGAAUUCCUGGUGUAGCGGUGAAAUGCGCAGAUAUCAGGAGGAACACCGAUGGCGAAGGCAGGUCUCUGGGCAGUAACUGACGCUGAGGAGCGAAAGCAUGGGUAGCGAACAGGAUUAGAUACCCUGGUAGUCCAUGCCGUAAACGGUGGGCGCUAGGUGUAGGGGGCUUCCACGUCUUCUGUGCCGUAGCUAACGCAUUAAGCGCCCCGCCUGGGGAGUACGGCCGCAAGGCUAA